CGAGUUAAUGAUGAUUUUUGUUAUCCCUGUCUGAAAAAAACUGAGGAUAUGUUAACUCUGAAAACUCG